CUUUAGCCUCGAUGUCCAAUUGCUCUCGCAAUUACCUUUUAUUCUGUGGUUCAGAAUAAAAGAUAUAGCGUACAGCGGGAACGUUG
rnacentral:sRNA from 1 species